AGUGAACGCUGGCGGCAGGCCUAAUACAUGCAAGUCGAACGGCAGCACAGUGGAGCUUGCUCCAUGGGUGGCGAGUGGCGGACGGGCGAGGAAUACAUGGGAAUCUGCCCAGUCGUGGGGGAUAACGUAGGGAAACUUACGCUAAUACCGCAUGCGCCCUUCGGGGGAAAGCCGGGGACCUUCGGGCCUGGCGCGAUUGGAUGAGCCCAUGUUCGAUUAGCUAGUUGGCGGGGUAAAGGCCCACCAAGGCGACGAUCGAUAGCUGGUCUGAGAGGAUGAUCAGCCACACUGGGACUGAGACACGGCCCAGACUCCUACGGGAGGUAGCAGUAGGGAAUAUUGGACAAUGGGCGCAAGCCUGAUCCAGCCAUGCCGCGUGAGUGAAGAAGGCCCUCGGGUUGUAAAGCUCUUUUGUCCGGGAAGAAAAGCAUCGGGCUAAUACCUCGGUGUUCUGACGGUACCGGAAGAAUAAGCACCGGCUAACUUCGUG
rnacentral:rRNA from 1 species